UACGUAGGGUGCGAGCGUUAAUCGGAAUUACUGGGCGUAAAGCGCGCGCAGGCGGUUUGUUGUGUCUGAUGUGAAAGCCCCGGGCUUAACCUGGGAAUGGCAUUGGAAACUGGCAAGCUGGAGUGUGGCAGAGGGGGGUGGAAUUCCGCGUGUAGCAGUGAAAUGCGUAGAGAUGCGGAGGAACACCGAUGGCGAAGGCAGCCCCCUGGGCCAACACUGACGCUCAGGCACGAAAGCGUGGGGAGCAAACAGG
rnacentral:rRNA from 1 species